AACUGUACCCAAGGAGGGAGAAGGAGCCUCUACUCACUCAGGCAUAGAAAGUGAGGUCAUGAUUAAGUUCAAUGAAUAAGCACAGCACAGAAAAUCCAGAUGUCUGUCAGCCAUGGGAUGACAUCUUCUAUCCACGAGCUACAGAAACUGAGAGAAGAGUGUUUGCAAGUCCCUCUGGUUGCAGAAGCAAGGUUCAUUGAUGGAGAAAGGGAUCUGAAGAUGGUAAAUUGACAGUUGAAGAAGAUAUAACUUCUUAUAUCUUCCACAAAGAGAAAAACCCUCAUAUGAGGAAACACCUGGGCUUGGAGUUCUGGCUCAGAAUUUAAAAUUUUCAAUCUAGUGUUAUAGACAUAUAGAAUAUUAGAGCUGAAAGGGCCAUCAGAUAUCACCAUUGCCCAACCUCCUGAUUUUACACAUGAGGAAAUCAACAUCAGGCACUUACUUCUGGGGAGGAGAUAAAGAAGGGAAGAGAGCUCCUGCGUUUACCCCUAAGGUCAACUACUUCUCUCUGCCUUACAUGAGUGACAAAGAGCCUAUUAACAUGAAGAUAAUGAGGAUGAAGACCUUUAUAAUGUUGCACUUACACUUGAUGAGU